GGGGGGGGGAGUGCGUACCAUGCAGUCGAGCGAAUUGACAGAGGUGCUUGCACCUCUCGAUUUUAGCGGCGGACGGGUGAGUAACACGUGGGUAACCUACCUAUAAGACUGGGAUAACUUCGGGAAACCGGAGCUAAUACCGGAUAAUAUUUAGCUUCGCAUGAAGCAAUAGUGAAAGACGGUUCUGCUGUCACUUAUAGAUGGACCUGCGGUGUAUUAGCUAGUUGGUGAGGUAACGGCUCACCAAGGCAACGAUACAUAGCCGACCUGAGAGGGUGAUCGGCCACACUGGGACUGAGACACGGCCCAGACUCCUACGGGAGGCAGCAGUAGGGAAUCUUCCGCAAUGGACGAAAGUCUGACGGAGCAACGCCGCGUGAGUGAAGAAGGUUUUCGGAUCGUAAAACUCUGUUGUAAGGGAAGAACAAGUACGUUAGUAACUGAACGUACCUUGACGGUACCUUACCAGAAAGCCACGGCUAACUACGUGCCAGCAGCCGCGGUAAUACGUAGGUGGCAAGCGUUAUCCGGAAUUAUUGGGCGUAAAGCGCGCGUAGGCGGUCUCUUAAGUCUGAUGUGAAAGCCCCCGGCUCAACCGGGGAGGGUCAUUGGAAACUGGGAGACUUGAGUACAGAAGAGGAGAGUGGAAUUCCAUGUGUAGCGGUGAAAUGCGCAGAGAUAUGGAGGAACACCAGUGGCGAAGGCGGCUCUCUGGUCUGUAACUGACGCUGAGGUGCGAAAGCGUGGGGAUCAAACAGGAUUAGAUACCCUGGUAGUCCACGCCGUAAACGAUGAGUGCU
rnacentral:rRNA from 1 species